UGGGGGGUAUUGCACAGAUUCCAGUAACCCCUAUUAUACUGAGCUAGCCAGCAGAAGAAACCAAUGAAGACCGACAAGUGUGCAGAAUUUAGAAGACUUGAAGAAAUGUCAUACAGGCUAAGACUAACUAUUAUCAAUUGAAUUUUAAUCAGAGACAUAUAUAUAUAUAUUUAUAUUUAUUAUACACACACUGCAUGUGUGUGUUUGUAAGCCCUGUCAAUUGAACCAGUGAAUAAGUAGGCACAUGUGUAAAUCAACAUGGGGUCGGCCAAAGGAACACGAAAAUGGUGGUGUUCAGUUGGAUUUUUAUAAAAAUCUUCAUAAAAUCAUUAAGUUGUUCAUCUACCAUCAAAAUCCUGAAGUGUUUACUUAACAGGAUUUAUGAGAUGUGUGUAACAGGUGUGUAAAGAUUUAGCACUCGUCCAUCUUUUUUUUGGGGGGGGGGGGGGGGGGGGGGGGGGGCGCUACAGUUAGAUAAUAUUCUGGUCAACACAUUCGAUAAACUACAUGGAACUCAUUAAAUCACUUCUUUUUCUUUCAGUGGUCUUCAACUUUAAAUUUUAAUCUCCAAGAAGGAAAUGUAAUUAAAAGAUAAAUAAAGUAUCCCUAAGAAUACCAGAAGAAAGGUUAUGUGUUGAGAAAAACAGCCCUUCCUCAGAACUAGAUGAUAGCCCUUGUUACUUUAUGUUGAAUAUGACACAGUAUAGAAGAUCUGAUCAUGAAGAAGUUACACCAUUGAUACACUUGCCAACUGCCAAAAUUACUUUCUGAUAGUAUGACGAGAUUAGAAGAUACCAUGGUGUAGUCAUGACACAAACUGCAAAUCAAAGAAUUAAUUGUUUUCCCCAGAGGAUGAACAGAGCACAAUGGCUUCACAUGGAUAACAUCUCCUUUCGAGUUUUGAAAUUAAUUUGUCAGAAUGUUAUGCAUCAUGAUCAACAGAAAAGAACUUCACAGGUAGACCAAAGCUGACAUGUUUGAACAAAUAUAUCCUAAAACGAAACCUAGAGUUUACGGGAUUGGAUAGGAUCAAUCCACUGGGUCGCCAAGUGUGGAAGUACAAACUUCAACCUCGACAGGACAGCCAGGCCUCACCCUUGUAAAAAGAUUAAUUUGGCCUGGAUAGCCAAAAUGAGUGAUGAUGAUGAUAUCAAGGUCUGACACUGGAAGCUCAGAAAGGGUAGAUGCUGGCAAUGGAGCUGUUUAGCAAUACGACAAACAGGUUUAACAUUGAACAUGUUUAUAUACUUUUUUAGCUCACCUGAGCAAAAGGCUCAAGUGAGCUUUUCUGAUCACCUUUGCCUGUCGUCCGUCUGUCUGUAAACUUUUCACAUUUUCAUUUUCUUCUCCAGAGUGAACCACUGGGCCAGUUUCAAUCAAACUUGGUACACUUCAUCAAUAGAUAAAUGUUAUUCAAGCUUGUUCAUAUAAAGAGUCACGCACCCUUCAAAAAGGAAAUAAUCAUGGAAAUGCAAAAAUAGGGUGGGGUCAUUUAAAAAACCUUUUCAAGAACCACUGGAUCAGGAAAGUUGAAUUCACAUAAAAGGUUCCUGUUUUGUGCAAAUCAUGGUCUCCGGGGAUAGGGUGAGGUCACAAUAGAGGAUCAAAGUUUUACAUUCAUAUAUAGUGCAGAUUCAAGUUUGUUUUAAAAGUAAUGGCUCACAGGGAUAGAGUGGGGAUCUAAGUUUUACAUGUGAAAUAUAUACAAGGAAAAUCUUUUAAAAUCUUCUCCUCAAAAACUAGAUGCAGAAUCGUAGCUCUUUGAGAAGGUAUUGGGGCAAGUCAGAGAGCUUCAGAUGAACCCCUUAUAAAAAAUCUUCAAUUUACGUCACAGAAAAAAAGUGCAUGGUUAAGUCCCUCUAUCACUGCAUUCCUGCAUCGCAGUCUCAUGAAUUUAAUAUUCAAUAAUUCCUAACAUAUAUUCCCACUAUGCUUGUUUCCAAACAUACUUUCAAAUAUUCCCUAAACCCACAUAUAACCCAAAUACUCGCAGCUUCAAGUGAUUUUCUUUGUUGAUGUAACCAUGUUAGGUAGCCAGUCAAUUUGAACCCCAGUUCAUUUCCAUACUCAUACUCAAUUUGAAACAUAAUGUCUGUGUGAACUAAUAUCCCCACAAAUAUUUUUAGUGAAAUAUUUUCGAUGAAAUCAUCCCACUUGGGUUAAAUACUUAUUAUUCAAAUACUGUAUGUUUGAAUAUUGAACUAAUCUCACAGCUUUCUUAAGUUUGGUCCCCAUCCCUGCCAGUCUGUUUUUAUGCUUAACUAUUGAAAUGGAUUGUAAGGGAUCAGACUAGGCUUUUAUAGCAUUAUAAAUUUUCAAAAGCUUUAGAAAAAUUAUACAAUUUUAGGUCACUUGAGUAAACUCAGAUGACAUAUUGCUAUUGGUCUGCGUCUGUUGUAGUCCGUCGACGUUAACAAUUGAACAUUUUUAAGUAAAUUCUAUAACUGAAAGGUGAAGAUAACAAACAGCGAUCAAUUUACGAUUCGAAUAACGGAAUUCUUUUCAAAUUUAGUAUGAAGCAUACAAAUUUACAUUAAACCUUCCUGACAUAGUGCAUAUUCAAGUUUGUUAAAAUCAUUUCCCCGGGAGGUAUGGUGUGGUAACAAUAGGGGAUCAAAGUUUUAUAUGCUGAUAUAUUUAAAGGAAAAAUCUUUAAAGAUAUCUCUGGAACUAUUUAAGCUAGGGCUUUCAUAUCUUGUAUAUACAAUUUUUAUGGCAAAACAAAUCUGACCUAUUCAGUAUGUCCUGAACUACAUUGUGUUUAAGGUAGAUCUUUCAUAUAUAUUAUAUAUUAUGAAUUUCUUAUGAUAAAACCUUUCAUCUUGUUGAGGGGCCUCUCAACUCUGGUUGGUGGGGGUUUGAAUCCUGCUCGCACCGGUAAGUGAGAAAGUUUCCCAGUUUACUUUCGGAAGGUCGGUGGUCUCUUCCCAGGUACAUUGUAUCUGGGUUCUCUCUUCCACCAAUAAAAACUGGGCACCACCAGAUAACUGAAAAACUGUUGAGUGGUGGAAAACAGCUAAAACAAUCAAUCAUAUUAUGUUCUUUGACCUUGUGACCCUGAACUCUGAGUUUGACCUACUUUUAAGAAAGUAUAACCUAAUAUGUUGUACGGUGUGACCGUUGAGACGAGCGAAGCCCACUAACAUCUUGCAACACGACUUUUAUCCGCCUCUUCAUUUAACGCGGGAAAUAUAACGCGCUUGGUGUAAACAGUUACAAAUAGGCACGUUUCGAGUUCAUCGGGAACACCCGGGAUUUUUCGCAUUUAGCCACGCCGAUCACGUGACAUGAACAAAAUGUUCAGCAGGGGUACUUCCGGUUGAUAUUGUUUACUCUGGUAACAAAGCUGUCUUUAACAAAAUAUACAUUUUGUGGCACGAAAGGUCGCAAUUCAGAUAAUGGAAAAAAGGGGUGUAUAUCUACUUUGGAUGAUGUUAAAGUUCACCCUUUCCCAACCCUGGAAAAAAUGUUCACGCAGAGGAAACGAUGGCGUCAUUUGUUUAGAAAACCACGAGCAGCAGAACAGUGCAGAAAAUUAGAGCGAUUAUUACAUUCCGUAAAAGCUGAACCAACACAGAAGCAUCCCUGUUCUAGCCAUUUCACCAUAUGAAAGGCGAAGAUAACAAACAGUGAUCCAAGUUUUAAGAAAGCCAAGAGGUUUGUACUGCCCUGUACAAAUAGGCCUAGUUGAUACAUGUACCUCAUCCACAUAGAUUUGAGCAAUGUAUGCAUUUUACAAUGGUGAUCAUGUGGCACUAAAUUGAUAGUAGAUUAUCAUAUAUCAGAGAAUUUACACUUCGAACUCAUGGUUUAGGUUCAUAGGCAAUUUCGGGGGGGGGGGGGGGGGGGGGGGGGGCAUAUAAUUAUAAUAUUGGGGGAUCUAUUCUUACAGAUUAGGAUUUGCAAUAAUCAUUCAUUCAAGCUCCAUACAGAUAGUUCAUUUACUUCCAAAUAAAUUUCAAUUCAUAUCAAAGAACUCUCAUUUAUCUUUGCUCCAAUUUGACCAAGCAGUGUGCUUUGUAUACAUCAGAAAUUACAUGUAUGUACACUUCCACUCAUAUUUAUGUGCUCUCCCAUUUAGUAAGAAAAAUGAGAAUGAUUUUCUUUCUUCAUAAUCUAUUCAACAUAUAUACACAGGUUGAUAACAAUGACUGUACUCCUUAUGUUGACUGGAAUUAUUGACUGGUAUGCAGUAAAACAGCUGAGGGAAAGUUCAACUAUUAAUUCAUUUCAGCCGGGUAGUCUGGCAGUAUUAUAGGUAAUCUGGCAGUAAUGGCAUGACAUCAUGAGAGCUAACCAACAUGGUUAAUGAUGUAUAGAGACACUGUCUGAAGACCUCGAGGGAAAGGCAAGGAAAAUGGAUGAUCCACUUCCUAUAUCCCUGUAAAAAAGAGGAAGGAUACCACAAUAUUGACGAUAAAUUAUUGUCAAUUCAAGAAGCAAAGUUGUGAAAAUGCAAAAACAAUAUUUAAUGUAUUUGUUAGAAAAAUAUCAUUAACUGCAUAUAUAUUUCUUGACCUUAUUCAGGAAUACAUCAGAUGUAGUCAUUCAUAUUAAAACUGAAUCUAUGAAUUUUCAUAACUUUUAUCAAUAAAGUUUACUAUAUUUAUUUUACAUGUAUCUAAUUUCCCUAAUACAUUGUACUCAUGGGAGUUUGCUUGCAUUCAAUGUUCUGACAUGAAUCCGAAAAUGUGCAUAUUUCAUCACAAGAGCCCUCCUGGGCACUAAGCAUGUGUCAUGUAUAAAGCAGACUCAAACAAGAUCUACCAACAUAAUAUUUGAAUGAACACAAAUGGUCUUAGAUACUCUUUCUUUUCCUCUGCAAUAUAUGGCAUUAAACAGCAUUAAUUCUUUUUUUUCAAUUUUGUUAAUAUAUACAAGUCAAUUAACUUUUCUCAAACUUUUGAUGCAUAUAAUGGAUUUUCUCUGUACUGCUACAUCUAUGUGCACAGAAUGGAAAUGAUGUCACUAAGAGGAAUAUACCUUAAUCAUGAGCAGAUGUAUUUUGUUCAAUGAUAACAAUUUGAGCAAUGAUCACAAAUACUCAUGAUAUUGGAGUUAUGAAAAGUCAUUGAAAUGCAUGUAUCUACUAGAGUCACUUUCAUACUAAAAAUUCUUCUUAUUAAAUGAGUCACUUAUAAAUGAAAGACUUGUGACGCAAGUAUUACUUGAUAAAUAUUAAUUUUCAAAUAUUGAUGUUUAAAUUAGGGAGGAUAUCAUUUAUAACUUAGUAGAUAUGAUAUUAAAUUAUUCUCACCCAUAUAACAUUUUUGUUUUGUCUUGGUCAUUUUUGGUAGCAUAUAUCGCAUUCUGUUGUGUCUUUGAUGAGUACGAUGAUCAUUUAUGUAGAAAUAUUCCACAGCUUUGACAUAAUCAGCAUGGUCAGUCAUUCACAGAUGAUAUCACUGUCCUGUCCAUAGUUUAAUAGCAAACCAUUCAGACCAAAGCAGGUCAUAUAUGUACACCAUCACAGCACCUGCAAGAUAUAUAUCUGGUUUUACAAGCAUGCAUGUAUCGAACAAAAUAUUUUAAGUUCAAAAUUGCUUCCCUUAUUUUGUGAAAUCUUUAGGUACAUGAACAGCUCCAGUACAAUCUCUAUAUUAAGCUAUAGAGCUUGAUUUAGCUAUUCCAAAUCUUUUAUGAAAUUAACUUUGAAAAGUGUAAAAAUCCAAUUUCAGUGAAUGAUAAAAUUUCACCAAUGUACAUGUUGUACUUGCAAAAAUUUUCAAAAAUAAUAUAUUGUAAACUACAUUCCUCAGAAAUAUAAUUUUGAUUCACAAAUGUUACUUUUCAAAAUGUCUCACUGCACCUUAGAAAAAGCAAUAAAACGUUAGAUUUAAUUAUGAAUGAGGAUCAACAAAAUAAUGGAUAUUAGGCAAUCUGAGUUUACAUAGUGUAAUAUCUGUGGAAACGAGGGGGUUAUUUAUAUUUGGUUUCUUUUACAUCAUAUGUGAAAACAAAUUAUUUUUUUUUAUAGAAUUGUUAGAAAAUCAAAAUCAGUAAAAUGCAAAAGGCUUUCCACAAAUGUUGAAUUUGUUUAUAGAAAAAACAAAAAGCUGUCCAGGUCUAGUUUUGCACUAAAAAAAAUGCAGCGAAAUAUUUGUGAGACUUUACACCCGCACUAGGAAUGAACGAAUACAUUGUAUAAAUAGCCUAACCCCCUCAUUUCCACAGAAGUCAGUACUGGGCACGAUGUCGGCUUUAUGAAUCACUUUAAGACAUUGUGUUUUGUUUAAUAAUAUAUAACGUUCUACAAAAAGUAGUAACUAUUUUGAUUUACCUAUUUGGUAGGUUUCACCGAGUCUAAUACGUUCUUUUCAUGUCCCACUAUGGCUAGUACUGUACUAGAUAGGGCUAUAGGGCCUAGGGUUCCUAGACAGUUAGGCCUUCUGCAUAGAUCUGCAAGUUACACUGCAACAUCGUCGUCUUCUCUAAGUCUUCCGUUGAAUUUGACCAAUGGUAGCUUAUCAAACGUUGACAAACAAAUACGUACCCCCAUACAUCCCAAACUAAUACAUUUAAUACGCGAAGUGUUGGUAAACAACGAGAAACCGGAAGUAACCCUGCUGAACAUUUUUGAAGCGGCGUGACUAAACACAGAAUAAAAACCGUGUUCCGGAGGAACUCGAAACACGGCUAUUGUGACGUCAUAUUAGCUGCAAUGUUUUUUCUUCUCUCAAACCAAGCAAAAACAAAACGUUUGAAGCUAUGAGAAAGCUUGUCUGGAAUUUAAAAACGUUAAUUGUACUUUCUAAACAAUCUAAUUAUUUUAAUGACGGGAUUGUCAAUGAAGUAUACCGCAGUGACUGCGACAUUUUCCGGAGGCAUUAUGGGUAGUCCCCAUCAUUUUUCAGCUGAUGAAGAGCAAACCACGUGACUCAAUUGCGUAAUCAUUGGAGCGAGCUCGUUGCGACGCGAGCUUCGCUCGCUAAUAUGUUGUACGGUGUGACCGUUGAGACGAGCGAAGCCCAUUAACAUCUUGCAACACGACUUUUAUCCGCCUCUUCAUUUAACGCGCUUGGUGUAAACAGUUACAAAUUGUGACGUCACAUUAGCUGCAAUGUUUUUUCUUCUUCUCUCAAACCAAGCAAAAACAAAAUUUUUGAAGCUAUGAGAAAGCUUGUCUGGAAUUUAAAAACGUUUAUGGUACUUUCUAAACAAUCUAAUUAUUUUGAUUACGGUUUGUCAAUGAAGUAUACCGCAGUGACAGCGACAUUUUUGCAGAAGCAUUAUGGGUAAUACUCAUCUUUUUUCAGCUGAAGAAGAGCAAAUCACGUGACUCUUAUGUGUAAUCAUUGGAGCGAGCUCGUUGCGACGCGAGCUUCGCUCGCUAUUAAGUAUAUCCAGGACUAUUAUAGAUAGGCCUUUCAUGUUUUGUAUAUAGAUUACUUAUGGCAAGGUCUUUCAUAUCAUACCAAGACCUGUGACUUUUUGCCUUGGUCUUAUCCAGAACAGUAAUAUCAUGCUAGUCAUAUCUUUGUGUUAUAUGAAUUCAUUUUAGUAAUGUUGUGUUUUUUAGGGCUAGGUUUGGGUCACAUCAUUCAUGAGAGUAAAGAUUGAUAAAAUAGCAUUUAAAAAUCACAACAGCAGGGCCAAGGUGACUGAGGUGAGCGAUGUGGCCCAUGGGCCUCUUGUUGAUUUUGAUAUUUGUACAUAUAUCAUUUGUAUGAGAAAUGGAACUCUCUUUUUUUCUUUUACAAAUACAUGUAUUAUCAUAUGGAUCCAUCUUUGUUGAUUAUUUAAUCAAAGGACUACAUUCAAUGCAUUCAAUAUAAAUUUAUUGAUAUGUCUGUGGUUGAAUUACUCAUGUAUGUAUACAUUUUUCUCGCACAUGCAAUUACAUAUAUGAUGUAUAUAUAUUUACUAAUUGUACAUAUAAUAUCCCCUGUAAUAUAAUAAAAUAUAUGACUGAGAAUAAAA